rnacentral:rRNA from 1 species
AGCGCAUGUGGUGGAUGCCUUGGCGAUUACAGGCGAUGAAGGACGUGAUAGCCUGCGAAAAGCUUCGGGGAGCUGGCAAAUUAGCUUUGAUCCGGAGAUAUCCGAAUGGGGAAACCCACCCGCAAGGGUAUCGCAUACUGAAUACAUAGGUAUGCGAGGCGAACCGAGUGAACUGAAACAUCUAAGUAGCUCGAGGAACAGACAUCAACCGAGAUUCCGAAAGUAGUGGCGAGCGAAAUCGGAGGAGCCUAGUCCUCUUUAGCAGUCGACUUAUCAAAACAGCUUGGAAACGCUGGCCAUAGUGGGUGAUAGCCCCGUAUGAGAAAAGUCGAUUGUGGAACUGAGUGGACGAUAAGUAGGGCGGGACACGUGAAAUCCUGUCUGAAGAUGGGGGGACCAUCCUCCAAGGCUAAAUACUCGUAAUCGACCGAUAGUGAACAAGUACCGUGAGGGAAAGGCGAAAAGAACCCCGGGAGGGGAGUGAAAUAGAUCCUGAAACCGCAUGCAUACAAAAAGUCGGAGCCCUCCGGGGUGACGGCGUACCUUUUGUAUAAUGGGUCAGCGACUUACAUUCAGUGGCGAGCUUAACCGAAUAGGGUAGGCGAAGAGAAAUCGAGUCCGAACAGGGCGUCUAGUCGCUGGGUGUAGACCCGAAACCAAGUGAUCUAUCCAUGGCCAGGAUGAAGGUGCGGUAACACGCACUGGAGGUCCGAACCGACUAGUGUUGCAAAACUAGCGGAUGAGCUGUGGAUAGGGGUGAAAGGCUAAACAAACUUGGAAAUAGCUGGUUCUCUCCGAAAACUAUUUAGGUAGUGCCUCAAGUAUUACCGACGGGGGUAGAGCACUGUUUUGGCUAGGGGGUCAUGGCGACUUACCAAACCAAGGCAAACUCCGAAUACCGUUGAGUACAGCUUGGGAGACAGUGCACCGGGUGCUAACGUCCGGACACAAGAGGGAAACAACCCAGACCGCCAGCUAAGGUCCCUAAAAUUGGCUAAGUGGGAAACGAAGUGGGAAGGCUAAAACAGUCAGGAUGUUGGCUUAGAAGCAGCCAUCAUUUAAAGAAAGCGUAAUAGCUCACUGAUCGAGUCGUCCUGCGCGGAAGAUGUAACGGGGCUAAGCCAGUUACCGAAGCUGCGGAUGCACAGUAAUGUGCGUGGUAGGAGAGCGUUCCGUAAGCCUGUGAAGGUAUCUCGUGAGGGGUGCUGGAGGUAUCGGAAGUGCGAAUGCUGACAUGAGUAGCGUUAAAGGGGGUGAAAAGCCUCCUCGCCGAAAGCGCAAGGUUUCCUACGCAACGUUCAUCGGCGUAGGGUGAGUCGGCCCCUAAGGCGAGGCAGAGAUGCGUAGCUGAUGGGAAACAGGUCAAUAUUCCUGUACCGAUCCAUAGUGCGAUGUGGGGACGGAGAAGGUUAGCUCAGCCGGGUGUUGGAAGUCCCGGUUCAAGCCUGUAGUCGUGCCUGGUAGGCAAAUCCGCCGGGUUUAGAUGAGGGGUGAUAACGAGUGUGCUUGCACGCGAAGUGAGUGAUACCCUGCUUCCAGGAAAAGCCACUAAGCUUCAGCUAUGGACGACCGUACCGCAAACCGACACUGGUGCGCGAGAUGAGUAUUCUAAGGCGCUUGAGAGAACUCUGGAGAAGGAACUCGGCAAAUUGACACCGUAACUUCGGAAGAAGGUGUGCCCUGAGUAGGUGAACCGGUACAUGGGGAGCCCAAAGGGGUCGCAGAGAAUCGGUGGCUGCGACUGUUUAUUAAAAACACAGCACUCUGCAAAGAUGAAAGUCGACGUAUAGGGUGUGACGCCUGCCCGGUGCUGGAAGAUUAAAUGAUGGGGUGCAAGCUCUUGAUUGAAGUCCCAGUAAACGGCGGCCGUAACUAUAACGGUCCUAAGGUAGCGAAAUUCCUUGUCGGGUAAGUUCCGACCUGCACGAAUGGCGUAACGAUGGCCACACUGUCUCCUCCCGAGACUCAGCGAAGUUGAAAUGUUUGUGAUGAUGCAAUCUCCCCGCGGAAAGACGGAAAGACCCCAUGAACCUUUACUGUAGCUUUGUAUUGGACUUUGAACAGAUCUGUGUAGGAUAGGUGGGAGGCUUUGAAGUGCGGUCGCUAGAUCGCAUGGAGCCAACGUUGAAAUACCACCCUGGUGUGUUUGAGGUUCUAACCUUGGCCCGUGAUCCGGGUCGGGGACAGUGCAUGGUAGGCAGUUUGACUGGGGCGGUCUCCUCCCAAAGCGUAACGGAGGAGUUCGAAGGUACGCUAGUUACGGUCGGACAUCGUGACGAUAGUGCAAUGGCAUAAGCGUGCUUAACUGCGAGACUGACAAGUCGAGCAGAUGCGAAAGCAGGACAUAGUGAUCCGGUGGUUCUGUAUGGAAGGGCCAUCGCUCAACGGAUAAAAGGUACUCUGGGGAUAACAGGCUGAUACCGCCCAAGAGUUCAUAUCGACGGCGGUGUUU